rnacentral:lncRNA from 1 species
AAGCUACCAAAGCAGAACUAUAGUAGAAAAAAGCCAGUGAGUUUUAAAUUUUUAAAUUUUUCAUUUUUAACCUAUUUUUCUAUAAGAGUGAACGUUUAUUGACAUUUACCAAAUCAUUGUUUGAAAAUUAAACAUUUAUGACAUUGAUGUGUUUGUGUAUCAGGAAUGAAAAAUGACUUAAAAUUUACCUUUUUCUAUGUAUUUUGAGAUAUUAGAAACUGACAAAAAUAUCAGGAUUUUUUACUUGUCAGAAUUAAACCAAAGCAUCUCCUCAGUAGGAAAGAUGGCAGUUAGGUUAUCAUAAGUAUUGUGCAAAAAUAAAAUAAAAUAAAACCCUACCAUAGUUGAUAUAAACCAGAAUCAAAUGCUAAAAAGCAGUUUCCUUAAAGAUUACAUCUUUUCAUAAUAAUUUGUUUUGUAAAAUGUACCUUUUACAACAUAACCAUAAAAAAUAAAUAGGAAGAAAAACACAGUUAAUGGAGGGAAUCUUUAUUCUGAUGAAUGAAAACAUAAAUUAAAGUCUCAGCUGAAACAUGAUCAUGAUUGGGACUAUAUGACUCAUAAUGAAGACAGCUCGUAUCAAGUGAUUUGUUGUGUUUUUCCUUCUUUUUUAACUGCCGUAGACAUUAAGUGUACACUUUCCAGUUUUCUGGGGUUUUUUAUAUCCUGGAUUAUCAAAAUUUUUAUAACUUGUUGAUAUUAGAAGUUACCUAUUGAGUUCAAAUACACAUUUAAAAAUUUAAAAAUUAUACUUAAAAUCUUUAAAAUAUUAUAUUAAACUAAUACAACACUCAAUUCUUUGUACACGUACAGGAUUUGACUUAAACUUACUAAAUUUAUGAUUUUUCUUAGGUUUAAUUCUGUUCAUAUUCCCCUGUAUAGCUAGUUGAAUACAUUUGUACACUGUUACAUAAAUUUUGAGAUGAAACUAUAAUUGGCUUUCUGGAAACAAAAGCUCUAUUUAGUUGUAAAAGGAAGUCCUUUAAUCUAUUUGGUAUUUCUUGAAGUGGUACUAUAAUUUAUAUGGUUGAAUUUCAUUUGCACAAAUAGUUUUCCUCAGAUAAAAUGAAUUUUAAUUAAUAACAAAGUUUAUUUAAGUUCUUACAGUAUUUAUAAUAAAGCCAACCAUUUAACUGGUCUUUUAUUUUUUUGCCACUGAAAUCGGGACCCAGCAGGUGCUUGAUUAAUACUUGUUCACUGAGUGGUUUAAUUUGAUAUUUCAAUUUGAAAAUAAAAUGUACAAAUUAAA